rnacentral:rRNA from 1 species
GUUAGGCGGCUGCUGUUCAUGCACGGCGACCGAAUGAUCAGAAGCUUGCUUCUAUGACGUUAGCGGCGGACGGGUGAGUAACACGUGGGCAACCUGCCUGUAAGACUGGGAUAACUUCGGGAAACCGAAGCUAAUACCGGAUAGGAUCUUCUCCUUCAUGGGAGAUGAUUGAAAGAUGGUUUCGGCUAUCACUUACAGAUGGGCCCGCGGUGCAUUAGCUAGUUGGUGAGGUAACGGCUCACCAAGGCAACGAUGCAUAGCCGACCUGAGAGGGUGAUCGGCCACACUGGGACUGAGACACGGCCCAGACUCCUACGGGAGGCAGCAGUAGGGAAUCUUCCGCAAUGGACGAAAGUCUGACGGAGCAACGCCGCGUGAGUGAUGAAGGCUUUCGGGUCGUAAAACUCUGUUGUUAGGGAAGAACAAGUACAAGAGUAACUGCUUGUACCUUGACGGUACCUAACCAGAAAGCCACGGCUAACUACGUGCCAGCAGCCGCGGUAAUACGUAGGUGGCAAGCGUUAUCCGGAAUUAUUGGGCGUAAAGCGCGCGCAGGCGGUUUCUUAAGUCUGAUGUGAAAGCCCACGGCUCAACCGUGGAGGGUCAUUGGAAACUGGGGAACUUGAGUGCAGAAGAGAAAAGCGGAAUUCCACGUGUAGCGGUGAAAUGCGUAGAGAUGUGGAGGAACACCAGUGGCGAAGGCGGCUUUUUGGUCUGUAACUGACGCUGAGGCGCGAAAGCGUGGGGAGCAAACAGGAUUAGAUACCCUGGUAGUCCACGCCGUAAACGAUGAGUGCUAAGUGUUAGAGGGUUUCCGCCCUUUAGUGCUGCAGCUAACGCAUUAAGCACUCCGCCUGGGGAGUACGGUCGCAAGACUGAAACUCAAAGGAAUUGACGGGGGCCCGCACAAGCGGUGGAGCAUGUGGGUUUAAUUCGAAGCAACGCGAAGAUCUUUACCAGGUCUUGACAUCCUCUGACAACUCUAGAGAUAGAGCGUUCCUCUUCGGGGGACAGAGUGACAGUGGUGCAUGGUUGUCGA